GAUUAACGCUAGCGACAGGCCUAACACAUGCAAGUCGAGGGGUAGCACGUCUUCGGAUGGUGACGACCGGCGCACGGGUGAGUAACACGUAUGCAACCUGCCUUCCACAGGGGGAUAGCCCGUUGAAAGACGGAUUAAUACCCCAUAAUACAUUAAUACCGCCUGGUAUAAUUAGUUAAAGAUUUAUUGGUGGAAGAUGGGCAUGCGCAGGAUUAGGUAGUUGGUGGCGGUAACGGCGCACCAAGCCAUCGAUCCUUAGGGGAACUGAGAGGUUUAUCCCCCACACUGGUACUGAGACAGGGACCAGACUCCUACGGGAGGCAGCAGUGAGGAAUAUUGGUCAAUGGUCGGGAGACUGAACCAGCCAAGUCGCGUGAAGGAAGACAGUACUAAGUAUUGUAAACUUCUUUUGAUUGGGAAUAAAAGGCAUCACGGGUUGGUGUAGUGCAGGUACCAAUCGAAUAAGCAUCGGCUAACUCCGUGCCAGCAGCCGCGGUAAUACGGAGGAUGCGAGCGUUAUCCGGAUUUAUUGGGUUUAAAGGGAGCGUAGGUGGUUUCAUAAGUCAGUGGUUAAAUCCCGGUGCUUAACAUCGGUACGCCAUUGAAACUGUGGGACUUGAGUAUGGACGAGGUACGUGGAAUUCGUAGAGUAGCGGUGAAAUGCAUAGAUAUUACGAAGAACCCCGAUAGCGCAGGCAACGUACAGGUCAUUACUGACACUGAAGCUCGAAAGUGUGGGUAUCAAACAGGAUUAGAUACCCUGGUAGUCCACACAGUAAACGAUGAAUACUCGCUGUAUGCGAUAUACAGUAUGCGGCCAAGCGAAAGCGAUAAGUAUUCCACCUGGGGAGUACGCCGGCAACGGUGAAACUCAAAGGAAUUGACGGGGGCCCGCACAAGCGGAGGAACAUGUGGUUUAAUUCGAUGAUACGCGAGGAACCUUACCCGGGCUCGAACGGCUGUUGAAUAUCAGUGAAAGCUGAUAGUCGUAAGACAACAGUCGAGGUGCUGCAUGGUUGUCGUCAGCUCGUGCCGUGAGGUGUCGGCUUAAGUGCCAUAACGAGCGCAACCCUUAUCUUUAGUUACCAUCAGGUUAUGCUGGGGACUCUAGAGAGACUGCCGCCGUAAGGUGAGAGGAAGGUGGGGAUGACGUCAAAUCAGCACGGCCCUUACGUCCGGGGCUACACACGUGUUACAAUGGGCGGGACAGAGAGUUGCUAGUUAGUAAUAACCGGCUAAUCCCCAAACCCGCUCCCAGUUCGGAUCGAAGUCUGCAACCCGACUUCGUGAAGCUGGAUUCGCUAGUAAUCGCGCAUCAGCCAUGGCGCGGUGAAUACGUUCCCGGGCCUUGUACACACCGCCCGUCAAGCCAUGGAAGCCGGGGGUACCUGAAGUACGUAACCGCAAGGAUCGUCCUAGGGUAAAACUGGUAACUGGGGC
rnacentral:rRNA from 1 species